CAAUAGCGUAUAUUAAAGUUGUUGCAGUUAGAACGCUCGUAGUCGGACUUCGGGGCGGGCCGACCGGUCUGCCGAUGGGUAUGCACUGGUCGGCGCGUCCUUCCUUCCGGAGACCGUCCCUACUCUUAACUGAGCGGGGGCGGGAGACGGGACUUUUACUUUGAAAAAAUCAGAGUGUUUCAAGCAGGCAGCUCGCUCUUGCAUGGAUUAGCAUGGGAUAAUGAAAUAGGACUUUGGUGCUAUUUUGUUGGUUUCGAACACCGAAGUAAUGAUGAGAAGGGACAGUCAGGGGCACUCGUAUUCCGCCGAGAGAGGUGAAAUUCUCAGACCAGCGGAAGACGAACCACUGCGAAAGCAUUUGCCAGGGAUGUUUUCACUGA
rnacentral:rRNA from 1 species